rnacentral:lncRNA from 1 species
GAGUGGUGAUUGAGCUGUAAAUGACUUCUGUUCUCCUGAAAAAAAUUUUGCACUCCUACUGAAGAAUGCAUCUCUUAUCUGCCCAGUGGGAUAAUUUGGAAAUCAUAGUUUUGCCUCACUUGCCAUUAAUAAAAUCAUUGGAUACCGCCAUGGCUACUUCCCUUGGAUACAGUUUUCUUGGAAGACUUCUGAUCUCAUAGAGGAGUCUGGUAGAAGGAUCGUGGUAUUCCUGUGCUUUUGCUUAUAUCACAUCUCAGAAACAUCAGCCUUAACUCCCAACAUAAGGCAUCAGGGAGCUAGUGCAUCAAGUUUGGGGAGGAAAUGGUUCUGAAAAGCACUGGAUGUCAGGCCCAAAGGAGAGCCGUCAGUUGGCUUUUGGGAAAGCCAAGUGUUUUAGACCGUGGACUCACAGCCCUGUCUCACAGCUACCACCUGUGCCUGGGAAAAGCUGCCUUCUCAUCCCACACACUACCUCGUCAGGUCCACUGGCCAUAUGGUGGAUGCAGGACCAUCCCCGUAGUACCAUCUUGUCAGCACCAGCUUACCAUAUAAUAGCCAAGUGGCCACCAGUAGCUCCACUUAUAUCUCCACUAUCAACAAUCCAAGGAAAAUUCAGUGCCGAGAAGCAGUGGCCAAAGAAAAGAGGAAAGAGACAGGUGUACUUUGCAGUUUAUCAAGGCAGCUGCAUCAUCACCACAUUCAUUACAAAACUGUAAAAGAGCAUGGAAAUGUGUUCAUACGAUGUACUCGCAUGAGAGGACAUAGAAGAGCUUAACGACAACAUGCCAGCAUGACAGAAAACAAGUUCUUUUAAUGCCAGCUGCUGUACUUGGAGUGGAGUAGGCCCACGAGAGUGUGUGAUGAGACACGAGAAAUAAUCAUGACAAAGAAGGAAUUGAAAUUCUUCUCUCCUGUUCAAAUGGUAGAAAGGUUUUAGUUGGCUGCCUAGUAGCCAGCAUUCUUCUGACAUUCCAGGUUUAUAAAUAAUAAGAGUGACAUUAUUAUACCAAUAAUUAUUAAAAUAUUAAGAACCAUAAAAUUACCAGUUAAUACUGGUGAUAGUGAUGAUUAUUGAGUACAUACAGGGGCCAGGCCCUGUUCUAGGUGCAUCAACUGGUUUACUCCUCAGGAAUCAUGUGGUGAAUUCCUGCCUCCAUCCUCCUGCUCCAGCAGCACAUGUGGCACAGGAUCACUCCUUCCUCCUUACCAAGCACUUUCUUCUGAGACAGUGCUCUGUCUCGGCCACUCCUUCUAAGUUGCCUUGAUUGGCUCCUCCCCUUCCUAAUUUUCUACACACCAUGGCUCUUCUUUCUCAUCACUUCUGAGAUGCACUCAGCCAGUCCCAGGGCUUUAUGCACAGUGUGUAAACUGACAACUGCUGAAUUCUUACCUCCAGCCCAGAGCUCUCCCUGCUUGGAUUCCAGCAGGCACUUCAGACCAAGCACGGCAAACUGAACCUGUCAGUUCUCUCUAAACCUGCUCCUCCCCAGUAUUCCAGUAUUCCCCAGCUCACCUCACAACACCUCAUCCUUCCAGAUGCCAGGCGGAAGCUUUUGUAAGUGGUCAUCUUUGCCCACUCAGCUCCCUCUGUCUCUGUCUCUGUCUGUCUGUCUGUCUGUCUGUCUCUCUCUCUCACACAUACACACACACAUCCUAGCAGUAAAUCCAGUGGGUUUGACCUUAAUUUUACCACUUCUCCCACCUCCAUUGUCAGCA